UAGACCGUCGUGAGCUGAAAGUCUUGGUCCAUGGACGAGACUUUGCUGUGGGGGAAUUCAUCGCUUCCAACAUUGUGACUGCCGUCAAAGAGAGCCGGAAAACUUUAGUGGUUCUCACACGAAAUCUUCUCAACAGCACCUGGUGUAACUUUGAAUUACAGAUGGCCAACAUGGAGUCUGUCCACACAGGGCGUCCAGUGCUUGUGUUUCUCAUCAAAGAAUCCAUACCUACGACAGAGCUGACCUCUGACCUCUUGUAUCACCUUAAUAAAAACACGUACCUGGUGUAUCCGCAAGGGGAGGUCACUGAUGUGUUUUGGAACAAACUGGCAAGGGAUAUCAUGUGUGUCUAGAUUAUUUGAUCUAAUUCGCUGAAUUCAUUUAAUUAGCAUGUGGACAAAUGUAAAAACUUAACACAGUAGCUCAGAAAUGAGACAAAGCUUGUUGGUGACAAGACUCCAAGAGUGUAAUAAAAUAUACAUGAGCAACGUGACCGAAUCUUCUUCAUUAAAAUAAAAUUUAAAGAAA
rnacentral:sRNA from 1 species